CUUGUGGACUGUUAUAAUAAAUGGAAGUAGAUUUUAUAUUUCAUGAUAUAAAAUCAAAACCAGACAGGUUGAAGCAAGAA
rnacentral:ncRNA from 1 species